CAGUGGGGGAGUGGACACCCUUUUCAGUGCGUGGUAUCUCAGGGUCCAGCGCACCCCUCUACCCCUCUGCCAAGUUCCGAGCCACCUCUGGUGGUGGCAGGGCCAGGUGCCUAGGACGCAGGAAAGCCAGGUCGACUCGCCGCUACUGAUGCCAGCGGCCAGGCAGUGGAUGGGGCUGCGUCGGGUCGACCUGCGACAGUGGACGCACUCGUGCCAUCCAUGCGAUGGGCAGGGUGUGUCGACGCGGCUCGAGCGUAUCCCCACCCCCGGCCCUCACCGACUACUGGUGAGUGGGCUGGGCCACCGGGAGGGGGAUGCGGCAGGUGACGACGGCCGUGGUAUGAGCGGCUGCGAGGCGUGGGGUGGGUAGGGCUUCGCGCGAAGGACGCGGUCUCAGAUGGGCGAGCUCGCUCAUUGCGGUGGCGUUUGGCUACCGCUGCACUGCACCACGCCGAUGGUUCGGCGGCAGGCUGGGGGUAGCGUGGCGCUGAGCUGAUGAUGUGUGGCGGAGAAGGAUCGCGCUGAUGAUUACAAGAGAACCGCAUCCGCGGCUUUGAAUCACCAGCCUUCAGGCAUCAGCGCGCCCUCGACGCGAGCGCUGUGGCAGAGGUGGUGGCGAAUUUCCCUCUUGUUUUGCUGUUUCGCGCAUUGCUUUGGAGAGCACGCACACCCACACGGAAAGCGUACGCAAGCGCUUCGGGUGGUGCCCUCCUCCCCCCUCCCCCGCCUUCCGCACCUCGCCGACUCUCCUCCCUUAGCAUCCCCCCUCUCUCUUUACCCCUCUCGCGCUCAG
rnacentral:misc_RNA from 1 species